rnacentral:rRNA from 1 species
UACGAGGGUGGCAAAUGUUGUUCGGAAUCACUGGGCGUAAAGGGAGCGUAGGCGGGUUUCUAAGUCAGGUGUUUAAUCCCGGGGCCCAACCCCGGACAGGCACUUGAAACUGGGAAUCUUGAAUAGUGGAGAGGUCAGUGGAAUUGGGGGUGUAGCGGUGGAAUGCGUAGAGAUCCCCAAGAACACCAGUUGCGAAGGCGGCUGACUGGACACAUAUUGACGCUGAGGCUCGAAAGCAUGGGGAGCAAACCGG